rnacentral:lncRNA from 1 species
GGAGAGUUGUCCAUAAGGAGAGUGGUGCAUAAGGAGAGCUGUUCAUAAGGGGAGUGGUGCAUAAGGAGAGCUGUCCAUAAGGAGAGUGGUCCAUAAGGAGAACUGUCCAUAAGGAGAGUGGUGCAUAUGGAGAGUUGUCCAUAAGGAGAGUGGUGCAUAAGGAGAGUGGUCCAUAAGGAGAGUGGUGCAUAAGGGGAGCUGUCCAUAAGGAGAGUGGUGCAUAAGGAGAGUGGUCCAUAAGGAGAGUGGUGCAUAUGGAGAGUUGUCCAUAAGGAGAGUGGUGCAUAAGGAGAGCUGUUCAUAAGGGGAGUGGUGCAUAAGGAGAGCUGUCCAUAAGGAGAGUGGUCCAUAAGGAGAACUGUCCAUAAGGAGAGUGGUGCAUAAGGAGAGUUGUCCAUAAGGAGAGUGGUGCAUAAGGAGAGUGGUCCAUAAGGAGAGUGGUGCAUAUGGAGAGUUGUCCAUAAGGAGAGUGGUGCAUAUGGAGAGUUGUCUAUAAGGAGAG